rnacentral:lncRNA from 1 species
CACACCACUGCACUCCAGCCUGGGCGACAGUGAGACCUGGUCUCAAAAAAAAAAAUUCAUUUCCAACAGGGAUAGGCACGCAGUCCGGGCUUGGGCAGAGCACUCACUACCCUCAAGGCAGCUCAACCACCGCCAGGCAGUUCAGACUGUUAGAAAGUGUUUCAAAAAGGAUGGCCCUGCUAUGGACUACCUCACACUGCCAGCAGCACACACUGAGCUCACGUCUCCUCUACAUGUUCCUGGACUUUUGCUCCAACUUAAGUAUAGAAUGCACCCCAACUUAAGUAUAGUUUAACACUUGAUUUUCUUGGUUUCAGGCCAUCCUUCUGGGUCGUUUUGAGUGCUGUUUGGAUCUCAAUGUGAUCAUCUGGGGAAUGUGCUCUCUUUUCAUUGGCGUCAUCUGAAAUAGAAUAAGCACGUGCUUCUUGUCUUCAUCUAAGAGCUUCCAGCAGUUCAUCAACAGAGGCAAGCGCCAGAACCCAGAGCUGCCUGAAGCAGACAGGAUGCACUUGGAUGUUCGAGUAAAAAGCUGGAAGGUCAUCCUCUUCAAGGGAGCAAGGAUGGACACACAGUAGCUGCGUCUGGUGACACCGCCCCACCUUCCUGGCCCUUUCCUGCUUCUCAUCUUGAUUGUGGAUUGCCAGAUGAAUGAGAAACCUCAGCCCCAGGGCUUCAGCAGUCCCCACAGUGAAUCUACACGUGCCUUGGCUGCCUGAGGAUUCGAUGUCGUCAGCAGUGGUCAGGUCACCACCUCCCCACAUGUACAAGUCCUUGACUACCCACACCGGUCACAUGUUCCCCGCCCUCUAGGGUCACGGUGAUAGUCUCUUGCAGCCAUAGAGCUCUGCUCCUCUUUAGUGGCUUUUCUUUUUUUUUUUUUUUUUUUUUUUU